rnacentral:lncRNA from 1 species
CCACCAAAAUUCAUUUGGUGACAGAAACCUAAUCUGAACUAAAGUAAGACUAUUAUUUAUUUUCAUCCUACUGAUGUCAAUAUUCAUACAUUUCCCUGCAGAAACACUCAUGUGUUUGGUUCUUGGGCUGCCUAGGCCCUCCUGGGCUACCUAAUAUAGAGUGAGUGUACUUUUAGGUCAGCCCUAUCAAGUCCCAAAAACAUUUGAAUUCUGCAAAACCUUUGGCACUGAAGGAUUCAAAUGGGGAACCUGGUGAUAUUAUAAUAGUGGUGGAGGCCAGGUGCGGUGGGUCAUGCCUGUAAUCCCAGCACUUUGGGAGGCCAAGGCAGUCAGAUCACGAGGUCAGGAGUUCGAGACCAGCCUGACCAACAUAGUGAAACCCCCAUCUGUACUAAAAAUACAAAAAUUAGCCAGGCAUGGUGGCACACACCUGUAGUCUCAGCUACUUGGGAGGCUGAGGCAGGAGAAUCACUUGAACCCGGAAGACAGAGGUUGUGGUGAGCCGAGAUUGCACUACUGCAUUCCAACCUGGGCAACACAGCAAGACUCCGUCUCAAAAAAAAAAAAAAGAGUGGUGGAAGCAGCUCUUUAUAGGUAGAGCCCUGCUUACUAGAAUAAAAGCUGAAACCUUCUUUCCCCAUCUAGGGAAGGUACACACCAAAUUCAUGGGACAGAUGGCCUGGGGAGGAAUGAAACUUGGAAGGCGGUAUCACGGUAAACUACCUUUAUCUGUGAUGAUUUUAUUUCCUUAAAAUAAAUUAUACUACAAACAUGACAGUACAUUAACAAACCCUGUGGUAGGAAUGGGGUUGUGUAUUGUAUUAUACUUUGUAUUUUUGAGAGUUUUUUAAUUUCUUUUUUGUUGUUGUUGAGACAGAGUCUCACUCUGUCACCCAGGCUGGAGUCCAGUCGCGCAAUCUUGGCUCACUGCAACCUCUGCCUCCCGGGUUCAAGCAGUUCUCUGCCUCAGCCUCCCAAGUAGCUGGGAUUACAGGCAUCCGCCACCACGUCAGGCUAAUUUUUGUAUUUUUAGUGGAGACGGGGUUUCACCAUCUUGGCCAGACUGGUCUUGAACUCCUGACCUCAUGAUCCACCCACCUUGGGCUCCCAGAGUGCUGGGAUUACAGGCAUGAGCCACCGCGCCUGGCCGAGUUUUUUAAUUUCUAAAAAUAAAAAUGAGUAUACAUCUAAAGUAGUAGAAGAAAAUGCAGAGAAUGUUUUAUAAUCUUAAAAUAGAGCCUUCCUAAGAGUGAAGUGAAAUAAAAAGUCAGAAAAUAAUAUAUUGAUAUAGAUUUAACUACAUGAAAAUUUUAGGCCGGGUGCGAUAGCUCACACCUGUAAUCCCACACUUUGGGAUGCCAAGGUAGGCAGAUCACUUGAGCCAGGAGUUCAAGACCAGCCUGAACAACACAGUGAGACCUGGUCUGUACAAAAAAUACAAAAUUAGCCAGGCGUGGUGGUACGUGGCUGUCGUCCUGUAGUCCCAGUUACUCAGGAGGCUGAGGUGGGAGGAUCGCUUGAGCCCAGGUGGGGCAGAGUUUGCAGUGAGCAAGAUCAUGCCACCGCACUGCAGCCUGGGCAACAGGGUGAGACCUUGUCUCAAAAAGAAAAAAAAAGCUUUUUUAAAGAUAGAUAGAAGAAAAUGUUUGCAAUAUGUAUAACACAUACAGUAUAUAGAACCCUCAUAUCAAUAUAUAUAAUUUCCAAAGAAAAAGUGGAUAAAGAAUAUGAGCAAUUCAUUCACAAAAAAUACAAAUAGCCAAAAGACAUGAAAAAGAAAAAAACAUUGUUAAUAAAAUAAUUUUUUAAUCUAUCCAACUGGCAAAAUUAAAAGGGUUGAUGAUAUUCAAUUUUGGUAAAGGAAGACAUAGGCACACUUGUAUAUUGGCACAAACUUAUUGAGAGCAGUUUGACCAAAUUGCGCAUGUCCUUUGACUCAGAAAUUCCACUUAUGAAAAUCUACCCCCACAGAAAGACUGUAAGAUACUCAUGAGGCUGAACAUUUUUUGAAACAAAGUCUAUCGAUAUUGGGGUAAGGAGAUUUGUUUUGUACACACAGUGGAACACUAAUUAUAAAGUCGUCAAAAAGUAUGAGGUAGACUGUAUAUAUUCCUGUGGAAAAAUAUAAAUGAGAUGUUAAA